rnacentral:lncRNA from 1 species
UUAAAACAGCAGGAGGAAGGGAAAUCUGAUCUGCAUACUUAAGUGAGGGGCCUUGACCUGCCCUUUCUAAAGCACCACUUCCCCCUGUCCCCACCACACCUCACUCUCAGGGACUUUUUCCUACAAUUAUUUGGUGGCCUCCUCUCUCUUCAUGAAAUUCUCCCUCCCUUAAUAUCUCAGGUCCUCCAGAACACUCCGGCACCCAAAGGUGAUCUUUAU